UCGUAGUCGUUAGCUUUUGAAGUUUAACGCGAUGUCAUAUAAUAACGAGGAUCCACAUUGCUCUCGAAUUCGCGUGCGACUAUCAGAGAACUUCGUAUUUCACGCUUUUCUUCAUAACAUUUCAUUAGCAAUCUCAACAUUUAUCAAAAUUCUUUCCGUUUAUUUUUCAUGUAUUGCCGCGACGGAGGUUUUUCCUAUCCGUCGUCAGAUAACCCCGCAGGAUCGUUCUUCGCACGUGGCAAAGCUCUGCAGGCAUUUAUCAAGCUCGUUCCGCCUCUUCGGUUGUCGGAGAAUAGUCACGUUUUAUCAAUGGAAAUUUCGUAUCGCCAAGCUCUGUAACGUUCGAUCCAAUGAUUCGAUCACACGUGCACCGCGAGCUUGAUUUUCAUGGGUGAUGCACAAGACACCGAGAGAUUCCAACGAACUCUCAUUCGCAGCAAUGUCGGUUUUGGGUGCCAUCGGGAUAUGAACACGUGGUUAGUCUGACCCUGAAAUUAAUGUACCAUCGAUUUAUAGCCAGUUCUUUGACAAGACUUUGAACUAGGAAUUUCCGGUCUCGAGUCAACAGCCACGCGAUUUUUCGUCGUUGCCACGCUCCUCUCGUCCCUUCGAGAACGUUCUCGAAUCCGCGUCAUUGGUCCGCGUAUACGCGGGUGAAUGUCUCGCUGCCGAACAGCUCAUUUGCAGGCCACGAAUCGACAAUGUUUUUUUUCAACCGAAUGGCCCGAAUCAAAGUGCUCUUUUCACGACGAUUAUCGGUAAUUGGAGCAUGGAAAAAUACGUGAAAUUCAGGCAUUCGAAGACCCUGGGAUGGUGACUUUGCCAUCUUCUUAUAAUAU